UACGGAGGGUGCAAGCGUUAUCCGGAUUUACUGGGUUUAAAGGGUGCGUAGGUGGGUCUGUAAGUCAGUGGUGAAAUCUCUGAGCUUAACUCGGAAACUGCCAUUGAUACUAUAGGUCUUGAAUUAUCUGGAGGUAAGCGGAAUAUGUCAUGUAGCGGUGAAAUGCUUAGAUAUGACAUAGAACACCCAUUGCGAAGGCAGCUUACUACGGAUAUAUUGACACUGAGGCACGAAAGCGUGGGGAUCAAACAGG
rnacentral:rRNA from 1 species